rnacentral:rRNA from 1 species
GUGACCUCGGAUCAGGUAGGGAUACCCGCUGAACUUAAGCAUAUCAAUAAGCGGAGGAAAAGAAACCAACCGGGAUUGCCUCAGUAACGGCGAGUGAAGCGGCAAAAGCUCAAAUUUGAAAUCUGGCCUCCCCGCGGGGGUCCGAGUUGUAAUUUGCAGAGGAUGCUUCGGGCGCGGCCCCCGUCGAAGUGCCCUGGAACGGGCCGUCGGAGAGGGUGAGAAUCCCGUCUGGGACGGGGUGGCCCGCGUCCGUGUGAAGCUCCCUCGACGAGUCGAGUUGUUUGGGAAUGCAGCUCUAAGUGGGUGGUAAAUUUCAUCUAAAGCUAAAUACCGGCCGGAGACCGAUAGCGCACAAGUAGAGUGAUCGAAAGAUGAAAAGCACCUUGAAAAGGGAGUUAAACAGCACGUGAAAUUGUUGAAAGGGAAGCGCUGACGACCAGACUCGCCCGCGGGGUUCAGCCGGCACUCGUGCCGGUGUACUUCCCCGCGCGGCGGGCCAGCGUCGGUUUGGGCGGCCGGUCAAAGGCCCCGGGAAUGUAGCGCCCCUCGGGGCGCCUUAUAGCCCGGGGUGCAAUGCGGCCUGCCCGGACCGAGGAACGCGCUUCGGCACGGACGCUGGCGUAAUGGUCGUUAACGACCCGUCUUGAAACACGGACCAAGGAGUCUAACAUCUACGCGAGUGUUCGGGUGGCAAACCCGUGCGCGCAGUGAAAGCGAACGGAGGUCGGAACCCCCUCGCGGGGCGCACGAUCGACCGAUCCUGAUGUCUUCGGAUGGAUUCGAGUAAGAGCGUAGCUGUGGGGACCCGAAAGAUGGUGAACUAUGCCUGAAUAGGGCGAAGCCAGAGGAAACUCUGGUGGAGGCUCGCAGCGGUUCUGACGUGCAAAUCGAUCGUCAAAUUUGGGUAUAGGGGCGAAAGACUAAUCGAACCAUCUAGUAGCUGGUUCCUGCCGAAGU